rnacentral:rRNA from 1 species
GACGUAGGAGGCGAGCGUUAUCCGGAUUCACUGGGCGUAAAGCGCAUGUAGGCGGUUGGACAAGUCGUGUGUUAAAGCCCCUGGCUCAACUGGGGGAGGUCAUGCGAGACUGUGCGACUUGGAGGGCAAGAGAGGCACGUGGAACUCCCGGUGUAGCGGUGGAAUGCGUAGAGAUCGGGAAGAACACCAGUGGCGAAGGCGAGUCCCUGGACGAUACCUGACACUGAGGCACGAAAGCCAAGGGAGCAAACAGG